rfam:Desulfitobacterium dichloroeliminans LMG P-21439, complete genome.
GGUCAAGCUACUAAGGGCGUACGGUGGAUGCCUAGGCGCUAAGAGUCGAAGAAGGACGCGGCGAGCGGCGAAACGCCACGGGGAGCAGUAAGCAUGCAUUGAUCCGUGGAUAUCCGAAUGGGGCAACCCAUCCAGAGUCAUAUCUGGAUAUCUUAAGCUGAAUACAUAGGUUUAAGAAGACAACCCGGGGAACUGAAACAUCUAAGUACCCGGAGGAAGAGAAAGAAUAAUCGAUUCCCUGAGUAGCGGCGAGCGAAACGGGAAGAGCCCAAACCGAACCCUUCGGGGGUCGGGGUUGUAGGACCCUCUUUUAGGGAUGAAUUUCUAGCUGAAGUGAUCUGGAAAGGUCGAGCAAAGAAGGUAACACUCCUGUAAGCGAAAGAAAGACAUUCUGUGAGGGUAUCCUGAGUACCGCGGGACACGUGAAACCCCGUGGGAAACUGGGAGGACCACCUCCCAAGGCUAAAUACUCCUUAGCGACCGAUAGCGAACCAGUACCGUGAGGGAAAGGUGAAAAGCACCCCGGGAGGGGAGUGAAAGAGAACCUGAAACCGUACGCUUACAAGCAGUCAAAGCACCCUUGAGGUGUGAUGGCGUGCCUUUUGUAGAAUGAACCGGCGAGUUACGGUAUGUAGCGAGGUUAAGACGAGAAGUCGGAGCCGAAGCGAAAGCGAGUCUGAAUAGGGCGAUUAGUUACAUGCUGUAGACCCGAAACCGUGUGAUCUACCCAUGGACAGGGUGAAGGUGAGGUAAAACUCACUGGAGGCCCGAACUCACUGUCGUUGAAAAGGCAGGGGAUGAGCUGUGGGUAGCGGAGAAAUUCCAAUCGAACACGGAGAUAGCUGGUUCUCCCCGAAAUAGCUUUAGGGCUAGCCUCAAUUGAUGAUUCUUGGCGGUAAAGCACUGAAUAGGCUAGGGGCCUUACCGGGUUACCGAACCUUAUCAAACUCAGAAUGCCAAGAAUUUAGAUUGGGAGUCAGACUGUGGGGGAUAAGCUUCAUAGUCAAAAGGGAAACAGCCCAGACCAUCAGCUAAGGUCCCAAAGUAUACGCUAAGUGGAAAAGGAUGUGGAAUUGCAUAGACAACCAGGAUGUUGGCUCAGAAGCAGCCACCAUUUAAAGAGUGCGUAAUAGCUCACUGGUCGAGUGGUUCUGCGCCGAAAAUGUAACGGGGCUCAAGCGUAUCACCGAAGCUAUGGCUUGCCAUCUAUGAUGGCAGGGGUAGGGGAGCGUUCCAUCAGCAGAGAAGCUCAACUGUAAGGUUGUGUGGAGUGGAUGGAAGUGAGAAUGCCGGUAUGAGUAUGCGAAAAGGUGAGUGAGAAUCUCACCCGCCGAAAACCUAAGGAUUCCUGGGGAAGGCUCGUCCGCCCAGGGUAAGUCGGGACCUAAGCUGAGGCCGAAAGGCGUAGGCGAUGGACAACUGGUUGAGAUUCCAGUACCACUCUUAAGCGUUUGAGCAAUGGGGUGACACAGAAGGAUAGGUUAAGCGUGCCGUUGGUUGAGCACGCCCAAGCCCGUAGGGUGUGAGGCAGGUAAAUCCGCCUCGCGAGAAGCCUAAAAGGUGAUGGGGAGCGAAAACAAGUAGCGAAGUAACCGACUCCAAGCUGUCAAGAAAAGCCUCUAGUGAGCAAGAGAGUGCCCGUACCGUAAACCGACACAGGUAGGUAAGGAGAGAAUCCUAAGGCGCGCGAGAAAACCCUCGUUAAGGAACUCGGCAAAAUGACCCCGUAACUUCGGGAGAAGGGGUGCUCUAGCAAUAGAGCCGCAGAGAAGAGGUCCAGGCGACUGUUUAUCAAAAACACAGGUUCCUGCCAAUCUGAAAAGAGAAGUAUAGGAGCUGACGCCUGCCCGGUGCUGGAAGGUUAAGAGGAGAGGUUAGCCGCAAGGCGAAGCUUUGAAUUGAAGCCCCAGUAAACGGCGGCCGUAACUAUAACGGUCCUAAGGUAGCGAAAUUCCUUGUCAGGUAAGUUCUGACCCGCACGAAAGGCGUAACGAUCUGGACACUGUCUCAACGAGGGACUCGGCGAAAUUGUAAUACCCGUGAAGAUGCGGGUUACCUGCGACAGGACAGAAAGACCCCAUGGAGCUUUACUGUAGCUUGACAUUGGACUUUGGUAUGAAAUGUACAGGAUAGGUGGGAGACUAAGAAGCUAGGGCGCCAGCCUUGGUGGAGUCAAUGGUGGGAUACCACUCUUUUUGUACUGAAGUUCUAACUUAGACCCCUGAAUCGGGGUUGAGGACCGUGUCAGGUGGGCAGUUUGACUGGGGCGGUCGCCUCCUAAAGAGUAACGGAGGCGCCCAAAGGUUCCCUCAGCGCGGAUGGAAAUCGCGCGAAGAGUGUAAAGGCAGAAGGGAGCUUGACUGCGAGACCAACAAGUCGAGCAGGGACGAAAGUCGGGCUUAGUGAUCCGGUGGUACCGAGUGGAAGGGCCAUCGCUCAACGGAUAAAAGCUACCCUGGGGAUAACAGGCUUAUCUCCCCCAAGAGUCCAUAUCGACGGGGAGGUUUGGCACCUCGAUGUCGGCUCAUCGCAUCCUGGGGCUGUAGUAGGUCCCAAGGGUUGGGCUGUUCGCCCAUUAAAGCGGUACGUGAGCUGGGUUCAGAACGUCGUGAGACAGUUCGGUCCCUAUCCGUCGCAGGCGCAGGAAAUUUGAGAGGAACUGACCCUAGUACGAGAGGACCGGGUUGGACGGAUCACUGGUGUACCAGUUGUCUCGCCAGAGGCACAGCUGGGUAGCUAUAUCCGGAUCGGAUAAGCGCUGAAAGCAUCUAAGCGCGAAACCGGCCUCAAGAUGAGAUUUCCCACAGCAUAAGCUGGUAAGACCCCUGAAAGAUGAUCAGGUAGAUAGGCCCGAAGUGGAAGUGCCGCGAGGUAUGGAGCUGACGGGUACUAAUAGGUCGAGGGCUUGACCUA